UACGUAGGGUGCGAGCGUUAAUCGGAAUUACUGGGCGUAAAGCGUGCGCAGGCGGUUCGUUAUGUCCGAUGUGAAAGCCCCGAGCUCAACUUGGGAAUGGCAUUGGAAACUGGCGGGCUGGAGUGUGGCAGAGGGGGGUGGAAUUCCACGUGUAGCAGUGAAAUGCGUAGAGAUGCGGAGGAACACCGAUGGCGAAGGCAGCCCCCUGGGCCAACACUGACGCUCAGGCACGAAAGCGUGGGGAGCAAACAGG
rnacentral:rRNA from 1 species